UACGAAGGGGCUAGCGUUGCUCGGAAUCACUGGGCGUAAAGGGUGCGUAGGCGGGUCUUUAAGUCAGGGGUGAAAUCCUGGAGCUCAACUCCAGAACUGCCUUUGAUACUGAGGAUCUUGAGUUCGGGAGAGGUGAGUGGAACUGCGAGUGUAGAGGUGAAAUUCGUAGAUAUUCGCAAGAACACCAGUGGCGAAGGCGGCUCACUGGCCCGAUACUGACGCUGAGGCACGGAAA
rnacentral:rRNA from 1 species